rnacentral:rRNA from 1 species
GGUCAAGUUAUUAAGGGUGCAGGGCGGAUGCCUUGGCACUAGGAGCCGAUGAAGGACGUGAUAAGCUGCGAUAAGCUUCGGGGAGUUGCACGUAAACUUUGAUCCGAAGAUUUCCGAAUGAGGAAACUCACUUAGAGUAAUGUCUAAGUAUCAUUAAGUGAAUACAUAGCUUAAUGAGGGGAACUCAGGGAACUGAAACAUCUAAGUACCUGAAGGAAGAGAAAGAAAUUCGAUUCCGUAAGUAGCGGCGAGCGAACGCGGAUUAGCCCAAACCAAUAAAGUUUUCUUUAUUGGGGUUGCGGACAUAUCAUAACGAAGAGGUAUCGUAAUUGAAGAGGUUUGGAAAGACCCACCACAGAAGGUAAUAGUCCUGUAUGUUAAACGAGAAGACUUUAGAUAUGAUCCAAAGUACCACGGGACACGUGAAACCCUGUGGGAAGCAGGAGGG